UACGUAGGUGGCAAGCGUUGUCCGGAUUUACUGGGCGUAAAGCGUGCGCAGGCGGUUAUGCAAGACAGAUGUGAAAUCCCCGGGCUCAACCUGGGAACUGCAUUUGUGACUGCAUGGCUAGAGUACGGUAGAGGGGGAUGGAAUUCCGCGUGUAGCAGUGAAAUGCGUAGAUAUGCGGAGGAACACCGAUGGCGAAGGCAAUCCCCUGGACCUGUACUGACGCUCAUGCACGAAAGCGUGGGGAGCAAACAGG
rnacentral:rRNA from 1 species